GCCUGGGUGGCUCAGUCAGUUAAGCAUUUGAUUUCAGCUCAAGUCAUGAUCUCACGGUUUGUGAGUUCAAGCCCUGCUUCGGGCU
rnacentral:tRNA from 1 species